UACGUAGGGGGCAAGCGUUGUCCGGAUUUAUUGGGCGUAAAGAGCGUGUAGGCGGUUUGGUAGGUCCGCUGUGAAAACUCGAGGCUCAACCUCGAGACGCCGGUGGAAACCAUCAGGCUAGAGUCCGGAAGAGGAGAGUGUAAUUCCUGGUGUAGCGGUGAAAUGCGCAGAUAUCAGGAAGAACACCCGUGGCUAAGGCGGCUCUCUAGUACGGUACUGACGCUGAGACGCGAAAGCGUGGGGAGCGAACAGG
rnacentral:rRNA from 1 species